UGCAACAUUUAUACCAAGAUGGAGUAUGAAAUACAACAUAAAGUUUGAGCCAAGUCAAGCUUGAAAAACAUCGAAUCUCGACCACAAAUGCAAUCCACAGCUUUCUUUAAGUUGUUACAAACAUGUUGUUGUCCAUUUGGCAAAGAUUAGAGCUUAUAUUGGGAUAAGAUUCUACAAAAAUAAUGAAAGUUUUUAGGACGAAAAUUUUUGUUGAAAGCACGAG